rnacentral:rRNA from 1 species
GCAAGUCGAGGGGCAGCGGGAUGAGCAAUACAUUGCCGGCGACCGGCGGAUGGGUGCGUAACGCGUAUGCAACCUACCUUAUACAGGGGAAUAACCUUCGAAAGGGAGACUAACACCCCAUAGUAUUGAUUUAAGGCAUCUUAGAUUAAUUAAAUAUUUAUAGGUAUAAGAUGGGCAUGCGUAUGAUUAGCUAGUUGGUAAGGUAACGGCUUACCAAGGCGACGAUCAUUAGGGGUUCUGAGAGGAAGGUCCCCCACACUGGUACUGAGACACGGACCAGACUCCUACGGGAGGCAGCAGUGAGGAAUAUUGGUCAAUGGGCGCAAGCCUGAACCAGCCAUGCCGCGUGCAGGAAAAGACGGCCUUAUGGGUUGUAAACUGCUUUUACAUAAGACUAACCGUAUAUUUGCGAAUAUACCUGAAUGUAUUAUGAGAAUAAGGAUCGGCUAACUCCGUGCCAGCAGCUGC